rnacentral:rRNA from 1 species
AGAACUUUGAAGAGAGAGUUCAAGAGGGCGUGAAACCGUUUAGGAGUAAACGGGUAAAGCCGCAAGGAGAGGCCGCGAAAUUCAGCCGUUCGAAUUCGAUGGCGCAUGGGCGUUGGGAGACCUUAAAAGCUCCCGCGUCUAUAACGCUGUCUCUAACGGUGCACUUUUCGCGGCGCACGUCGCGAUCGAGUUUUCGGUUCGAAAGAAGAGUUGACUCGAAGACGGAGCCGCGUGUUCCGCGCCUAAGUCGACUCGGGCGUCGAUACUAGGGCUCGAUUUACUUCGGCGAUGACGAUUCUAUCGAGCGUCUGCGGUAGUCGAUCGGGUCGGUCGAAAUGUUGGCAGCUUGCUCGCAGGCUCCGACGACCCCCGGCUUUAACGAUUGCCGUUGACGCCGUUCAUCGUCCGUUCCGCGACGUCCGUGGCGGCCGCUUACCCGACCCGUCUUGAAACACGGACCAAGGAGUCUAACAUGUGCGCGAGUUGUCGGGAAGAUAGAAACCCGUACGGCGUAAUAAAAGUGAAAGCGUUCUUUAGGACGCGUUAGAUACGAUCUCGGCUUUUCGGAGUCGAGCGGAGUAUCGUCCCGUCCGAGCGGUACGUCCGCUGGGCGGAGAUAGAGCGUAAAUGUUGGGACCCGAAAGAUGGUGAACUAUGCUCGAGCAGAACGAAGCCAGAGGAAACUCUGGUGGAGGUUCGUAGCGGUUCUGACGUGCAAAUCGAUCGUCAGACUUGGGUAUAGGGGCGAAAGACUAAUCGAACCAUCUAGU